rnacentral:rRNA from 1 species
AUUGAACGCUGGCGGCAUGCUUUACACAUGCAAGUCGAACGGUAACAGGGAGCUUGCUCCGCUGACGAGUGGCGAACGGGUGAGUAAUGCGUCGGAACGUGCCGAGUAGUGGGGGAUAACGCAUCGAAAGGUGUGCUAAUACCGCAUACGUACUGAGGUAGAAAGUGGGGGACCUUCGGGCCUCACGCUAUUCGAGCGGCCGACGUCAGAUUAGCUAGUUGGGGAGGUAAAGGCGCACCAAGGCGACGAUCAGUAGCGGGGCUGAGAGGCUGAUCCGCCACACUGGGACUGAGACACGGCCCAGACUCAUACGGGAGGCAGCAGUGGGGAAUUUUGGACAAGGGGCGCAAGCCUGAUCCAGCCAUGCCGCGUGUCUGAAGAAGGCCUUCGGGUUGUAAAGGACUUUUGUCCGGGAGCAAAUGCCUGGUGUUAAUAGCACUGGGAGCUGAGAGUACCGGAAGAAUAAGCACCGGCUAACUACGUGCCAGCAGCCGCAGUAAAAC